rfam:Triticum aestivum genome assembly, contig: Triticum_aestivum_CS42_TGACv1_scaffold_405352_5BL
AAAGUACUCCCUCCGUCCCAAAAUUCUUGUCUUAGAUUUGUCUAGAUGUGGAUGUAUCAAGUCACAUUUUAGUAUUAGAUACAUCCGUAUCUAGACAAAUCUAAGACAAGAAUUUUGGGACAGAGGGAGUAGUUG